AUUAAAGGUAUGUUGUUCUAUUUAUUUAUUUAUUUUAGAGAUGGGUUCCCACUACUUUGCCAGGGCUGGACUCGAACUCCUGGGCUUGAGUGAUCCUCAUGUCUCAGCCUCUGGAACAGCUGUGACUAUUGGCCUGUGCCACUGCAGCCAGAGGUGUUCUGUCAUUUUUAAAGAAUAGAAAAUAGUGAUUUUUUUUUAUGGAAUAUGUGGCAAUAUUAUUGAAUGUCUUACCUUCUUAGGAAAGAAAAUGAAGUGGUUGAAAACAAAGUUAGAGCUGAAGAGUUAAGUUUCUGGUGCCUGCGUUGGAGAGUUUUGCUGAUUGAUCCUGUCAUUUUUAAACAAUAUAUGCUACCAAAAAAGAAAGUCUUCUAAGCCCCAGGGUCCAGUGCUGAUAAAGAGACUGAGCCUCAGAGACCCUAAAUGAUGCUUCAAGGCCC
rnacentral:lncRNA from 1 species